CACUGGGUUCCCCUGCCACCCCCCGCCGUGGGCCUGGUGCAGCCGAGGCCCAGCCUGGUCUGAUGCUCCCAAGUGGAGGACAGGACGUGCUCGGGUGACCAAGAGGGGGCAGGUGAGAACUCGGCACGCAGGCGCUGGGUGCAGCCGCCCCACAUGCCAGGAAUGCCACCGAGUGACCCCAGGCCCCUGGAGACCAGCCAGAUGGGCCAGCCCAGCGGCCUGCAGCGGAAACCAAUCUGUCAGAGGGCUGUCAGCGAGCAACGAUGGUGGCCUUCCCUGGGGGCGCGCCUGACCAGGCGCUGAGGAGCGAGCGGGAGCCCUGAGCCCAGCAAGGAGAGAAGACAACACAGAGGCAAGCACAUCAAGCUGGAAAAUAUUUACAUCCCUCCCAACAGACCAGCAGAGCAGAGGCGUCCUCCUGAUUUGCGAUCCCUCCCAGGGAGCUGAGUUACAAGGCAAACGACUAUCUUCCUAUUUCACGGCAUUCAUGGGAAUGUCACUACUCUGUAUAAUGUCAACCUGGGACCACAGAGAUGGCUGUUGAACUGUCAGAAGCUGGUAUGUAUUGGCACGAGGUGGUGGAAGGAGCCUGAGAUCUGGAGUCCCAAAGUCCUGGCUGGCUCUGCCAUUCCUAAGCCGUGUCACCUUCCACAAAUUACUUACCGUCUUCGAACUUCCACUUCUUCAUCUGUUUGAGGGUCCAAACGCCUAGCUGACGGUUUUGUUCCGACAGCCAAAUAAGCUAAUGGCUGUAAAAGUGCCCUGCACGCUGUGAGAUGCCUGCCACGAGUCAGGGAUCAUUGUUGUCUGUAAAAUGUGAUUCCAUCUUCUCGUUCCCGUUACUGAUGGCUGCUCAGGAGCACACUCUGCCAUAGGUACUCAUUACACUCGCAGUUCUACUUAGCUGCCACCAAGAUGGAGUAUGUGGGAAGCAUGGCAGGAUAAUGGUUUAAAAAAUAUCUUAUUAGCCAUCUUGAUAUUACAGCUCCUGCAGAGCUAAUCUGUGUGAAAAAUUGUAUGCAUAUGAGCACUUUCCUAGGGAGAGAGGUCAUGGAUUUCAUCAGAUUCUCAAAUGAGACUGGGACCCCUAGGAGUCAAGCAGACAUAGUCUAGGCGGAAAGGACUCCAUUAGGGAACCUGGAGACCCAGCUCUGCCUAUAACUUGCUGGUGACUUUGAGGAUGUCCCUUGGCCUCUCUGGUCUUCAGUCACUCACCUGUAAAAUGGGUACAACCACAUGCCCUCCGGUAUCCUUCCCAGCUCUGACACCUGAUGAGUGUGUCCUUCCCUGCCUUGUGUCCUCCAUCAGAGAGGAGACUUUCCUGCUGGCAGCAAGCAUUUGCUGGGUUCCCACUGGGUUCCCGCUGGGUUCCAGGCUCUGGCCAGCUGGGAAGGCCUCAAACCCAGCUUCCUUGCUUCUGGAGUAAGUGGAGAGCUCUUCUUUUCUAAACAUACAUCACUUCAGGCAACAGUGAUGACGAAUUGCCCCCCAAAUAACCAAUCACAGCACCCCAAAGUGCCCAAAAGUGCUGCAGCUCCAUUUCGGCUUGUUUUGCCCGGCAGUUAAAGAGGACGGUAGCCCAGCCGCUGUGCUCAGACAAAGGCAGUUCGUUCCCUCUGAAGACACUUCCCUGUAAGUUGGAGGACCAUGAGGCCAUCUUGGUUGGGCGGCCAGGGGGCUAACAGGGACAUUUGAAAUCUAAGCGUGUCCCGGAGGGGCAGAACGAAGAGCAGGCUACGGCGUAGUGUGACCCAGAGAGCCGAGUUCGUUUCCUGCCCUUGCUGCUGGGAGGCAGAGGUCAUGGCAGGCGGGCACCUUGGCGGGUGGGGUCUGCCCUGGUGUCUCGGACCUCAGCGGACCCUGGCUGGGCUCAGGGAGGGGUGAGAGGCCAGCAUGUCUCCAACCCAUGGGCCUGACCUCAGAGAGUUCCUAGUCUACAGUGGGCAUAUGGACAACCCCUGGGCCAGAUCUGGCCCACAAACAUGACUGGUUUGGCCUAAUUUUUAAAAAAAUUGUUGUAGAAUACACAUAGCAAAAUUUACCCUGUUAACCAUUUUUAAAUGCCCAAUUCAGUGGCUUUAAAUACACUCACAUUUUUGUGCAACCAUCACCACCAUCCAUCUCCAGAACCUUUCCAUCAUGCCACACUGAAACUCUGUCCCCAUUAGACACUGCCCAUCCCCCCUCCACCCAGCUCCUGGCACCCACCAUUCUACUUUCUUUCUCUUUGAAUUUGGCAACUCUAAGCUUCUUAUGUAAGUGGAAUCAUCCAGUAUUUGUCCUGUCGUGAUUGACUUAUUUCACUGAGUGUAAUGUCCCCAGGUUCCAUCCGUGUGGUAGCCUGUGUCAGAAUGUCCUUCCUUUCUAAGGCUGGAUAAUAUUCCACUGUGUGGAUGGACCACAUUUUGUUUAUCCAUCCUCCUGUUGAUGGACAUCUGGGUUGCUCCCUCUUUGGCUGUUGUGGAUAAGGCUGCUAUCAACAUAAAGCUACAAAUACCUACAUUGUAUUUGUUAAUAUUGGAGUUAGCAAAUGACAUUUAAAAGCCAAGAGAUUUCUCAUAAGAAUCUGGAUUUCUGGCUUUUCUUGGAAAAGCAGUGGAUCUGACAACACGAAGCCUGUCUUCAUGGCCACAGUCAGACUGAAUGAGGCCAACCCACUCCUUGACCGACAGGCACCCCCAGCCUGCUGGGCCUCAGGCCCCUACUCCCUCCUCAGGUCUCCUCCUCUGCUCACCACCUACCCUGCCCGGUAUGCCCAACACCCUCAGGUAUGAGUGAAAGCACAGAGGCCCAGAGACAUGCAGCGACCUGGGCCCGAGGUCUCACGGGCGGACCGCGAUGGGACCUGUGUCACGUGGGAAGGACUGGCUUCUGGUUCCAGCUCUGCUGCUUGCCUGCCCCAACGACCUUAACCUUCCUGAGCCUAAGCUUCCUCUCUCGGAGGAAAAUGGGAGAGACGGUACCUGCUCCGGAGCCUUCACACAAUUAUUGUGAUGACGGAAGAGGAUGCACGGCAACUGGAACACAGAGUUGGGAUUCAGGGGGCGUUGUUAACAGCGCGGGCUGAGUUAGGCAACUUAGAGUGUGGAGAUGGUUUCCUUGUCUGCAAAAUGGGAAAAGGGGCUGUGCCCCCUCUACGGGACGCCUCUGAGGAUUAACGGAGACAAGGAAGGCAAAGCAUCCAGCCAAGGGCUUGGCGCACAGUGGGUACUUCCACAUGUUACUUUGUUGCAAGUGAGAGUGUCCUCAGGGCUCCCGAUCCCAUUGGCAGCAGAGCACAACCCAGCAAGACGUGAUGUCACAGGGACAGCCAGGCAGAGUCCAUCAGCCUGAUUACAAAGUCCACCCUCCACCUAUUUCCUGAUGGGCCCCUGGGCAGGUCAGCUGCCUCUCUCUGCUCUGCAGACCCCCCACUGUUGGAUGGGGCAUUAUCACUGUCCUCCCAGCACACAGGGGACGAGAGACCUAAGGCGCCUGGCGUGCAGUAGAUCUCAGUAGAGUUUAGCUCCCGUCCCUCCCUUCCCAAGCAGAAGUCUGCCUCCGAGCUUAAAAUGAUGGCUUAUUCUCCAAAUGCUUCCAAAAAAGCAGAAGAAGAGGGAAAGGUGUUUUCCAGCUUCCCACUGGAAUGUCCAGGGAUCCCACAUUCUUGGGGCCCCGAGCAUCACCCAUCACUGGUCUUUCUGCCUGUUUGUGUACUUCUGUUCCCUCUGUCCUUUCCAGAGUCCCCGAGGGAGGCCUCUGAGCCACUUUCAGAGCCAGCAGGGCAUCCCCAGGUGAGCAGUCCUUCCACUGCACCCAGGAGACCUGGGAGGCCAGCUAUGUACCCCUGGCAGAGCCCUGCCUCCUUCCCUUUAGGC
ensembl:lncRNA